UGCCAGCCGCCGCGGUAAUACGGAGGGUGCGAGCGUUAAUCGGAAUUACUGGGCGUAAAGCGCACGCAGGCGGUUUGUUAAGCUAGAUGUGAAAGCCCUGGGCUUAACCUGGGAACUGCAUUUAGAACUGGGCAGCUAGAGUACAGCAGAGGAGUGUGGAAUUUCAGGUGUAGCAGUGAAAUGCGUAGAGAUCUGAAGGAACAUCAGUGGCGAAGGCGACACUCUGGAUUGAUACUGACGCUGAGGUGCGAAAGCGUGGGGAGCAAACAGGAUUAGAUA
rnacentral:rRNA from 1 species